rnacentral:rRNA from 1 species
UACGGGGGGGGCAAGCGUUGUUCGGAAUUACUGGGCGUAAAGGGCUCGUAGGUGGCCAACUAAGUCAGACGUGAAAUCCCUCGGCUUAACCGGGGAACUGCGUCUGAUACUGGAUGGCUUGAGUUUGGGAGAGGGAUGCGGAAUUCCAGGUGUAGCGGUGAAAUGCGUAGAUAUCGAGAGGAGCACCUGCGGCGAAGGCGGGUUGCUGGGCCGACACUGACGCUGAUGCGCGAAAGCCAGGGGAGCGAACGGG